UAUGUAGUCCAGAUGCAGCGAUCUGUCC
rnacentral:piRNA from 1 species